AACGAACGCUGGCGGCAUGCCUAACACAUGCAAGUCGAACGCGUGUAGCAAUACACGAGUGGCGGACGGGUGAGUAACGCGUGGGAACCUGCCCAAUGGUAGGGAAUAACUGCGGGAAACUGCAGCUAAUACCCUAUGCUCCCGUACGGGGGAAAGAUUUAUCGCCAUUGGAGGGGCCCGCGUCGGAUUAGCUAGUUGGCGGGGUAACGGCCCACCAAGGCUACGAUCCGUAGCUGGUCUGAGAGGAUGAUCAGCCACACUGGGACUGAGAUACGGCCCAGACUCCUACGGGAGGCAGCAGUGGGAAAUCUUGCGCAAUGGGCGAAAGCCUGACGCAGCGACGCCGCGUGAGGGAUGACGGCCU
rnacentral:rRNA from 1 species